CCCCGCGCUCCACCGGGCAGAGCGCGUGCGGCCGCCGAGCACAUGGACCCGCUGGUCGAGCGGGCUCGGCAAGGCCGGGAUGAAGAGGAGCUGCGAACCAGGAUCCGACCCAGUACCCCCAAAGCCCCUCGAGUGGAUAUCCACGCGGAAAGGAUGUUGGCAGUCCGGGUGACCUGGGAGUCAUGGCUGAAUCCACCCUCCCGAAGAGAUGACAGCAGGAUCUCUUGAAGAUGCAAACCAACCCCAUGUCCUGAGGAAAACAGCCCUAUGCCAUUUUAUAGUUCCCGCUGCUUGCCUGUCCUGCGGACCUGCCCCAGUGUACAGAGAUUCUAUGGUUUGCUUCCUUGUUCCCUCUAUUCUGCCAGGCAUGACCUUAGCAUGACUAUGGUAAGAAGAUGCCCUCCAGAAGACUGUGCUUGUGGACGACAUGGAGCCCCACUUGGGGAUUUUCUGAACCCUGUGGAUUUUACAGUGAAAUGCACUUGUGUGAUGCUGGUGGAUGUGGAUUCCGGAAGAACUCACCUGGCUUGCCUUGGGAUGCUACAAGUGGCCUAAUGGAUUCUUUCAGGCUGGAUGCCCACUGGAUGACAAGGACAGUAGCUGAGAAGACUGUAUCUUAACCCUUGACUCAAUGCGAAUAUUUGCUCUGAUCUCCCGGACAACCUGGAGCUCCCUCAAAAAUAGAGCCGAGUUCUGUCACCAUGGACGCUGGCAGUGGCAUGUUCAUGCCCGUGGCAAGCAGUCAGUCCUGAGGUGGAAGAAUUACCUGUGAGAUCCGGCUUGUAAACAGCACAGCAUACCUGUUCAGCAUUCCAGAAGGAUUUGAGGAUCAUCCUGUUCUAAAAUAAAGCCGGAGUAUUUGGGGGAUUUGGAAAAUUGAGAUGAGAAGCUUCUACUUAGAAACACCAAGUAACUCAGCUGAUAAACAGCAAACGACAGAAGUCUUCAGGCUGGAGGGAAUUCUGUGAGACACUUGAGCCCUCCAGCGCUGGUAGGAGAUUGAUGGACUUACACAGAAGAUAGAUCCAGCCGUGCCGUUGGCCCUAUGAGAAGGAGACACUCUUUCCAGAAGACAUAGAACAUUCCUGAACCUGGAAAGAUGCCUGGAAACUGGGAGAAGACAGAAAAGAGCACUUGCCCCUCCUACCUGGGCAUCUCCCACCAUACUCAAUACUUUUCACCGGGUCACUGCUGAGCUGUCCUCGUUUAGUCUUGGUUUGAUGGAAUAUUAGUCUGAAAUUUUUACUUUCAAUUAAACUUACUUGUUGAACCACCUCUAUCUUCAAAGGAUUCUAUUAGGAUGGCUAAUUAUAGCUAUUGCUACAAGGCAUUAUUUGCACUCAAUUUCAGCUCUUAGGCAAUUUGGUUUAAGUGUUUUAUAUUUUCACUCUUCGGAGUUAUGUGUAACCAUCAUCCUCCUACACCACAGGCUUCAAAUGAGCUAUUUUUGGAAACCCAGAUCAAAACAGCAAUUUUGAUGGUGACCAUAUCUGGUCUAACUUUAAGUGCUAGUCAAAACAGUCAAAGACACAAUGCUAUACAGAGCAAGAAAGACACCCCCUGUUUAUGAGGUCAAGUGUUUGGAAAGUUCAAGCUGUCCUUUAUAUUACGGUAUUGGUCUGAGUACUAUCUAAAGCCAAAGGCAAUGUAAAUUCCUCCUAAAUUGCAGAGAUUUCUUCUUCUGCUAACUGUUGGCCAUAAUUAAUGUGUUUCAAGAUGGCAGCCAUGGAAGAGUUUAGCAGGGACCCUGCAUUUCCCGUGAAGUGGAAAUUAUUUUCUAUUUAUGGUUAUUUAUGUGUACGUGAGUGUGUGUAUGUUGUAUGUAGGUGGUUAUAAGUAUUUGUAUGUUAUAGCACAGCUUUCUGGAGUUGGUUUGUUUCUUCCUCUGUGAGUUCUCUAAUGCAGCUCAGGCCAUUAGGUGUUCACGGCAAGCACUGACCCUGUAAGCCAUCUUUGGGCCGAAAGCACUCUCUUUGUGUUCAUAACGCUGCCCUCAUUUCUUCUUGUGCCCGCAGACAUGUAGCCUAAUUCUUGUUUGCUAACCUGCUCUCCCUCCCCAAAAGUUCAGUUCUCAGCUUGUGAACCAGGACCAUGCUCUCUCCUGUCACAUGCCUGCCUCAUAAUAAGUACUUGCAUGAUGAACUGACGGAUGGGUGAAUGAAUCCUAAAAGUACAACUUUUAUUUUGUUUUUGAGAAAGUCAAUAUUUUAUUAUGUAAACAUUAAAUGAUUACAUUCAUCUUUAAAAACAAACAAGCAGAAAACAACCCCCUAGAACUUUUCCAAGAAGGCUGAGAAUCUUCUAAUGUGUCUUUGCUAUUCUUUACUUCUUUACUUAUCUCUGCAGAGGGAAUAAUUUGUCAU